GUGGGAUGGAUGAGAUCAUUGGGAUGGAUGGGAUCAUUGGCGGGAUCAGUGUGGUCACCGAGGUGGUGGUUAUGGGAUGGAUGGGAUCAUUGGGAUGGAUGGGAUCAUUGGUGGGAUGGGUGGGAUCACUGGUGGCAUCAGUGGGGUCACCGAGGUGGUGGUUCUGGGGUGGAUGGGAUCACUGAAUGAUGGGUGGGAUCACUGGGAUGGAUGGGGUCACCGAAUGGUGGGUGGGAUCACUGGGAUCUCUGGGAUGGGUGGGAUCACUGUAUGAUGCGUGGGGUCACUGGGAUGGAUGGCAUCAUUGGAUGAUGGAUGGGAUCACUGGGAUGGAGGGGAUCAUUGGUGGGAUGGGUGGGAUCACUGGUGGCAUCAGUGGGGUCACCGAGGUGGUGGUGCUGGGAUGGAUGGGAUCAUUGAAUGAUGGGUGGGGUCGCUGGGAUGGAUGGCAUCAUUGGAUGUUGGGUGGGAUCGCUGGGAUGGAUGGGAUCACCGAAUGGUGGGUGGGAUCGCUGGGAUCACUGGAUGGGUGGGGUCACUGAAUGAUGGGUGGGGUCACUGGGAUUGGUGGGGUCACUGAAUGAUGGGUGGGGUCACGGGGAUGGAUGGCAUCAUUGGAUGAUGGAUGGGAUCAUUGGCAUGGAUGGGAUCACUGAAUGCUGGGUGGGAUCACUGGGAUGCAUGGGAUCAUUAGUGGGAUGGGCGGGAUCACCGGUGGUAUCAGUGGGGUCACCGAGGUGGUGGUGCUGGGAUGGAUGGCAUCAUCGGAUGAUGGGGGGGAUCACAGGGAAGGAUGGGAUCAUUGGGAUGGAUGGGAUCACCGAAUGGUUGGUGGGAUCACUGGGAUCACUGGGAUGGGUGGGAUCACUGAACGAUGGGUGGGGUCACUGGGAUGGAUGGCAUCAUUGGGAUGGAUGGGAUCACUGGGAUGGAUGGGAUCGUUGGUGGGAUGGACUGGAUCACUGGUGGCAUCAGUGGGGUCACCGAGGUGGUGGUGCUGGGAUGGAUGGGAUCACUGGGAUGGAUGGGAGCACCGAAUGGUGGGUGGGAUUGCUGGGAUCACUGGGAUGGGUGGGGUCACUGAACGAUGGGUGGGGUCACUGGGAUGGAUGGGAUCAUUGGAUGAUGGGUGGGAUUGCUGGAUGAUUCGGAUCAUUGGUGUGAUGGGUGGGCUCGCUGGUGGCAUCAGUGGGGUCACUGAGGUGGUGGUUCUGGGAUGGAUGGGAUCAUUGAAUGAUGGGUGGGGUCGCUGGGAUGGAUGGCAUCAUUGGAUGUUGGGUGGGAUCGCUGGGAUGGAUGGGAUCACCGAAUGGUGGGUGGGAUCGCUGGGAUCACUGGGAUGGGUGGGGUCACUGAAUGAUGGGUGGGGUCACUGGGAUGGAUGGCAUCAUUGGAUGAUGGGGGGGAAGACUGGGAUGAUUGGGAUCACUGGGAUGGAUGGGAUCAUUGAAUGAUGGAUGGGAUUACUGGGAUGGAGGGGAUCAUUGGUGGGAUGGGCGGGAUCACUGGUGGCAUCAGUGGGGUCACCGAGGUGGUGGUGCUGGGAUGGAUGGGAUCAUUGAAUGAUGGGUGGGGUCACUGGGAUGGAUGGGAUCACUGGGAUGGAUGGGAUCACCGAAUGGUGGGUGGGGUCACUGGAAUGGAUGGCAUCAUUGGAUGAUGGGGGGGAUCACAGGGAUGGAUGGGAUCAUUGGAUGAUGGAUGGGAUCACUGGGAAGGAUGGGAUCAUUGGUGGGAUGGGCGGGAUCACUGGUGGCAUCAGUGGGGUCACUGACGUGGUGGUUCUGGGGUGGAUGGGAUCACUGAAUGAUGGGUGGGAUCACUGGGAUGGAUGGGGUCACCGAAUGGUGGGUGGGAUCACUGGGAUCUCUGGGAUGGGUGGGAUCACUGUAUGAUGCGUGGGGUCACUGGGAUGGAUGGCAUCAUUGGAUGAUGGAU
ensembl:lncRNA